rnacentral:ncRNA from 1 species
UGACCUCAGAUCAGGCAAGGCAACCCGCUGAAUUUAAGCAUAUUAAUAAGCGGAGGAAAAGAAACUAACAAGGAUUCCCCUAGUAAUGGCGAAUGAAGCGGGAACAGCUCAAAUUUGAAAUCUCCGUUGCUUGCAACGGCGAAUUGUAGUUUCGAGAAGCACUUUCUCGGCGGAUCCGAGGUCGUCCAAGUUGCUUGGAACAGCACGUCGUAGAGGGUGACAACCCCGUCUGCGGCGACCUCGGCCGUUCACGAUGUGCUUUCGACGAGUCGGGUUGUUUGGGAAUGCAGCCCAAAAUGGGUGGUAAACUCCAUCUAAAGCUAAAUAUUGGCACGAGACCGA